GCCGGUGAGAUUCCGGCACGGUCGCGCCACUGUGUGCCCAUCCCGGGCGAGUCAGG
rnacentral:ncRNA from 1 species